rnacentral:rRNA from 1 species
GAUGAACGCUGGCGGCGUGCCUAAUACAUGCAAGUCGAGCGAAUGGAUUAAGAGCUUGCUCUUAUGAAGUUAGCGGCGGACGGGUGAGUAACACGUGGGUAACCUGCCCAUAAGACUGGGAUAACUCCGGGAAACCGGGGCUAAUACCGGAUAACAUUUUGAACCGCAUGGUUCGAAAUUGAAAGGCGGCUUCGGCUGUCACUUAUGGAUGGACCCGCGUCGCAUUAGCUAGUUGGUGAGGUAACGGCUCCACAAGGCAACGAUGCGUAGCCGACCUGAGAGGGUGAUCGGCCACCCUGGGACUGAGACACGGCCCAGACUCCUACGGGAGGCAGCAGUAGGGAAUCUUCCGCAAUGGACGAAAGUCUGACGGAGCAACGCCGCGUGAGUGAUGAAGGCUUUCGGGUCGUAAAACUCUGUUGUUAGGGAAGAACAAGUGCUAGUUGAAUAAGCUGGCACCUUGACGGUACCUAACCAGAAAGCCACGGCUAACUACGUGCCAGCCGCCGCGGUAA